CUUAUUUUCUUUCUUUUUCCUUCUUUUCUCUCCCGAGCUGAUCCUUCUCCUCCUCCCCACUCGCGGUGCUGAACCCUCCUCUUCCUUCUUCCCUCACGCGACAUCGAGCCACCGCUGCCUUCUUCCUUCCGAUCUCCUCUCUCGACGCCGACGAUCUCUUCAUCUCCCUCGCUCCUUCUCCAUCGCGAGCACCAGCAUCUUCCCCGACGCAUCGCCGGCUGGCCUCGUGCCCUAGCCAUCCCUCUUUCCCCAUCGGCUGUUGUGAGCCAACGCGGGAACAUAGGCGUUGCCGUUUGCCCUCGGUUGGCUGUGCCCUAACUUCUUGAUGUCGAUGUUUGAUGAUGGUGUGAGCAUCACCGGCGGUCCCAGUUAGGCUUGGAGCAAGGAGCCCCUGUAUCUCUUGAUCGUGGUCGGCUAUUGCCCUUCUCCUGAGUAUAUUCCGGUCAGUGCCCUAGUGACGGCGUCGUACUAUCCUGUGCCCCGGCUCAUUCAUCGCAGCACCUCGAUUCCCUCCGAGAGAGAUCUCGGAUCUAGUUCAGGGGUCUGAGGGGAGAGCUCCACUGGUAUUGCUAUUACGGUUGGUGCUAUUCAUCUAGCAGUGGAUUGAAUUAGGGGUAUUUGUUUUGGGAGAUCAGCAACCCCACCUUGUACCGGCUACCAAUUCCCGGCAGCCAACAUCUUCGACCAUGAGUCAAUAACGGAGCAUCCGAUUUAGGACUUUGAUUCAAGACGGCAUCUCGACGUGGGAUCUUUCGAAUAUGAUCUCCAUUUUUUAGGCGGGU